GUCCGAGUGGCGGAAUCGGUAGACGCGCUAGCUUGAGGUGCUAGUGCCUAAUUAAACGGGCGUAGGGGUUCAAGUCCCCUCUCGGACACCA
rnacentral:tRNA from 1 species